rnacentral:rRNA from 1 species
UACGUAGGGCGCAAGCGUUAUCCGGAAUUAUUGGGCGUAAAGAGCUCGUAGGCGGUUUGUCGCGUCUGCCGUGAAAGUCCGGGGCUCAACUCCGGAUCUGCGGUGGGUACGGGCAGACUAGAGUGAUGUAGGGGAGACUGGAAUUCCUGGUGUAGCGGUGAAAUGCGCAGAGAUCCGGAGGAAGACCGGUGGCGAAGGCGGCCUGCUGGGCAGAUACUGACACUGAGGCGCGACAGCGUGGGAGCAACA